UACGUAGGGGGCAAGCGUUAUCCGGAAUUACUGGGUGUAAAGGGAGCGUAGACGGUAAUGUAAGUCUGGAGUGAAAGGCGGGGGCCCAACCCCCGGACUGCUCUGGAAACUAUGUUACUAGAGUGCAGGAGAGGUAAGCGGAAUUCCUAGUGUAGCGGUGAAAUGCGUAGAUAUUAGGAGGAACACCAGUGGCGAAGGCGGCUUACUGGACUGUAACUGACGUUGAGGCUCAAAAGCGUGGGGAGCAAACAGG
rnacentral:rRNA from 1 species